rnacentral:lncRNA from 1 species
UGAAUCCAGGGACCUCAUUAUUGCAUAUUUCUUUGGGAAAUGAUGGCAUGGGCAGCAAUCCUUGGAUUUGGGAAUCUCAUCUUGGUGUCCAGGCCCUUGUUCUUCCACCUCUAACUCCAAUGCAACCUCCUGUGAUGCUGGUGGAUCCAAAAGGAUAGUUCAUGACACCAGGACCUCAUCCUCUUGCUCCUCCAGAAGGCUUGUGUGGACCACCAUGAGGAUGUUUUCAGCCAAGCCAUUUUGGUGGCCUGCAACAUUUUUCUAUCAAAGUAAGAAGCAUCUAUCCAACAAAGAAUUGUCAUUUUCCUCUCCAUAGAUUUCCUCCCAUUGCUGAGCUUCCAGAAGAG